rnacentral:rRNA from 1 species
GGGGGUAUGCCUUACAUACGGCGAGUGAAGCGGCAAAAGCUCAAAUUUGAAAUCUGGUACCUUCGGUGCCCGAGUUGUAAUUUGGAGAGGGCAACUUUGGGGCCGUUCCUUGUCUAUGUUCCUUGGAACAGGACGUCAUAGAGGGUGAGAAUCCCGUGUGGCGAGGAGUGCGGUUCUUUGUAAAGUGCCUUCGAAGAGUCGAGUUGUUUGGGAAUGCAGCUCUAAGUGGGUGGUAAAUUCCAUCUAAAGCUAAAUAUUGGCGAGAGACCGAUAGCGAACAAGUACAGUGAUGGAAAGAUGAAAAGAACUUUGAAAAGAGAGUGAAAAAGUACGUGAAAUUGUUGAAAGGGAAGGGCAUUUGAUCAGACAUGGUGUUUUGUGCCCUCUGCUCCUUGUGGGUAGGGGAAUCUCGCAUUUCACUGGGCCAGCAUCAGUUUUGGUGGCAGGAUAAAUCCAUAGGAAUGUAGCUUGCCUCGGUAAGUAUUAUAGCCUGUGGGAAUACUGCCAGCUGGGACUGAGGACUGCGACGUAAGUCAAGGAUGCUGGCAUAAUGGUUAUAUGCCGCCCGUCUUGAAACACGGACACAAUC